GUUCGUGAGGGUGGCUGAGGGCUGCGACCGCUCCGGGCUUCAAGCUGGCCGGGGCUUCCCUCAGAAAGCUUUGGAGCUGGUGUGGAUCCGAGCAGAAAAACCAAAGCUGCAGCAGCCUUAGAAGAAAUCUGGGCACACGCUGGGUCCCGGCACAAGGCAAAUGAUUAACGUAUGCAUUUGGGAAGAGGAAGAGCAUGGACACGAAGGCCUUUGAGCCUCACACAUCCUCCUUUCCUGCUUGGGCACUUCCAGGAAAAAUCCAUCUGUGGUGAAGUGUGAACCCAGGACAGUUUUAGCGUCAUCAGAGAGAAGCGAGGGUGAAACCUUUGCAAAUGGAUGAUAAAACACUGGAACAAAGACAUCUGUUUCCGUCUACCACGCCAGGUUCUGCUAGAGAAGCUCGAUUGCUGUCCUUCUGCCAGCAGAAAAGAUCAUUAUGCUCAUUCAGAAGUGCAUGAGAAUGAAGAAACUUGUGGGGAUUAACAGUGUGUGCCGGUCCUCGUUAGGUUCAUAAUUACCUCCUGGCAGCCUGGCCCAGAGGCGAGGUGCUGUAGCAGGGAGGGAGGAGGUGGCGGUGAAGGCGGCAGCGUGCUGGGGGCCGACUGUUGCUGAGGGCUCAGGCUGUAGGAACGUCAACCCGAGUGCUACCCUGACCCUUAUCACUGAGCAGCUCUAGCGGGAUGUAACAGCCGUGUGAAGCCCCUGGGUCAAAUACUGCUCGCCUUGUCUGGUGGUCCAGCAGAAGACAUCCUCACCUUCAUCUCCCUCGGCUCCACUUCCGCAAUUCACUCGAUUCGAGAGCAAGCAAAUGACACCAGCGUUUCUAGGAGGCACCUUCAGAGUAACCCACGGUGCCCUAAAAGCCCAAGUACCACAGCAAACACCUUCUACGUCAUGUGGCUGACUUUAAACCUCUCAAUAUCGGAAAGUUAGACAGCUAAGUAAAAAAAAAUCCACUGUAAGGGGUGUUGGCUGAAGAUAUUCAUCGCAAGAGGCGGUAGGACGGAUCAGUUGGAGCUGCAACAUGCGGUUAGGCGAGUGAUGCUAGAUGGCCACCAUGAAAACACCAGCCUGAAGGUCCUGGUAAGGAUUGUGACUUCUUUUUUCCUGAUUUUAUUUUAUAUGACCCUUUUCCCAGACAUGAUUUGACUGUUCCUACUGUAAAAGCACAGGUGGAGGGCUCUUAGGGAGUGCUAACCCAUAGUUUUACUCCUAGGCUUAAAUAAAGAGACACAGUAAAGCAAGAAAGAAGAAAUUAGGACAGAAGAUGGGUCUUUCAUACGGUGCAUAAAAUCUGAGUGUGAUUUGGUGACUGUGGUUGCUGAAAGCAGUGCAAGAAACUACUGCCCUUCGGCUGCUGGACAUAAGCAUCCUCUUAUGAUACCACAACCCAAAACCCAAAGUUUUUCUGCUCGUAGCUAAAAGACCUCCAGAGCUCAACGCUCUUCUGGAUGGUGGAAGAUCCACACUUGCACCCCUGGUGAUUUAUCCACCCAUUAUACCCGUAAAUUGGAUAAUGAAGAUGAGCAGGAGCAGCAUAGGAACCCAACUGCAACGAAGUCAACAAAACACAAGGACUGUCAAAGUAACGGUGUGUUAAAAAUGUUCUCUCCAGCUUGAGAGCUAAAGAGGCUUGCCUGUGAUUAGCAGAGCAAGAUGAGAACAUGCCCUUUAUAAGCGUUAAUUUCAGUUUUUCACAAUGUCUCUGCAAUUUUCACAUCGCUGCAUGUGAAUAAAAUUACACACCCACCUCUGAAUCACUGAUGAUUGCUCUUAUUUACUAUGGGU